GAAGGGGACAACAGAGGAUGAGAUGGCUGGAGAGUGUUAUUGAAGCUACCAGCAUGAGUUUGACCAAACUGCGGGAGGCAGUGGAAGACAGGAGUGCCUGGCGUGCUCUGGUCCAUGGGAUCACGAAGAGUCGGACAUGACUAAAUGACUAAAUGAUGACAACAACAACAAUUCUAACCACACUUGACAAACUGUAGCAAGCUGCAAGUGUUUAAAGUGCCUGGAAACUAACUGAGACCACUGCUUCCAUGAGAAAAAAUAUGUAAGUAGAAUUGUGCAUCAUUAACAUACCUAUGAAACUCAAAUGGUUAACAACACGAGUGGCAAAACAGACCUUUGCGGAACACCAAAUCUUGUAUUGGAGGCAAAGCAGUCUUUGCUGACCACCACUUUCUGAGACUGUGCUAGCAAAAAGAAAUUAUUAUUAUUAUUUAUUGAAUUUAUACCCCACCCUAUACCAGGAGGUCUCAGGGCAGUUCACAGAACAGAAACGAAGCUUUUUCAGGGUCAACCACAUGGUGUAGUAAGUUGUCAUGAUCCAAAUUAGAAAAUGCACAUUUCCCCCCUUUUGAUUCCCCAUGGCUUGAAAUAGCCUUUGGAUAUUUGAGCAGCAUCAACACCUUCACUGAUAUACAUUGGUCUGUUCCUUGCAGAGAUAGGCAAUGAAACCAAAAAUAGGGUCGUCUCCCCCCUUUAUUUGCUCUACUACAGCUUCAUUUCCCAUUAGAGGGGAAACAAUCAACCCAGAAAGAUCUUUAUUUAUCCUCUUUAUUCCUUUACUCUGUCCAAUACAGGAAACGUAUUAUUAAGCAAUCAAGACUGUGCCGCGGCAAUCAUAAGGUGAUUAUGUUCCAACAUAACAAGUGGCAAGGUGUUGCCAAGAAAAGCUUUCUCUAGAGAGGUGGUUAUCUUCAGAAUAUGAAUUUUUAUUAGGGACUGGAAUAUUGGAGAGGAUGGAGGAUGGACUGUUUCCUCAGUUCUAUUCUCCUGUGAUCAACUACUUCUCUGUGUUUCUUCCACUUCUUAUGCAAAUCCAGCACAUGCACAGUUCAUGCAUCCUUGCAAAUAAACAGAACAUAGAACACAGAUGCUCUAUGUUGAGUCAGAACAUAGGCCCAUCCAGUUCAGUGGACAAUUAAUUUUACCAAUCCUACCUGUGGGC